GUUGUAUGGUUAAGUGACUAAGCGUACAUGGUGGAUGCCUUGGCAGUCAGAGGCGAUGAAGGACGUACUAACCUGCGAUAAGCCGUGAGCAGUCGGUAAGAGACAUUACGACUCACGGAUUUCCGAAUGGGGAAACCCACUUAGCAUAAGCUAGGUAUCGCUGCGUGAAUACAUAGCGUAGCGAGGCGAACCGGGAGAACUGAAACAUCUAAGUACCCCGAGGAAAAGAAAUCAACCGAGAUUCCCUCAGUAGCGGCGAGCGAACGGGGAUUAGCCCUUAAGCAUCUUGGAAGUUAGUGGAACGGUCCUGGAAAGGCCGGCGAUACAGGGUGAUAGCCCCGUACACGAAAACAACCUUGAUGUGAAAUCGAGUAGGGCGGGACACGUGACAUCCUGUCUGAAUAUGGGGGGACCAUCCUCCAAGGCUAAAUACUCCUGACUGACCGAUAGUGAACCAGUACCGUGAGGGAAAGGCGAAAAGAACCCCUGUGAGGGGAGUGAAAUAGAACCUGAAACCGUGUACGUACAAGCAGUGGGAGCCCUUCGGGGUGACUGCGUACCUUUUGUAUAAUGGGUCAGCGACUUACAUUUUGUAGCGAGGUUAACCGUAUAGGGGAGCCGUAGGGAAACCGAGUCUUAACUGGGCGUCUAGUUGCAAGGUGUAGACCCGAAACCGGGUGAUCUAGCCAUGGGCAGGUUGAAGGUUGAGUAACAUCAACUGGAGGACCGAACCCACUAACGUUGCAAAGUUAGGGGAUGACCUGUGGCUGGGGGUGAAAGGCCAAUCAAACUCGGAGAUAGCUGGUUCUCCCCGAAAGCUAUUUAGGUAGCGCCUCGGACGAAUACUACUGGGGGUAGAGCACUGUUUGGGCUAGGGGGUCAUCCCGACUUACCAACCCCAUGCAAACUCCGAAUACCAGUAAGUAAUAUCCGGGAGACACACGGCGGGUGCUAACGUCCGUCGUGAAGAGGGAAACAACCCAGACCGCCGGCUAAGGUCCCAAAGUUCUGGUUAAGUGGGAAACGAUGUGGGAAGGCUCAGACAGCUAGGAUGUUGGCUUAGAAGCAGCCAUCAUUUAAAGAAAGCGUAAUAGCUCACUAGUCGAGUCGGCCUGCGCGGAAGAUGUAACGGGGCUCAAACCAG
rnacentral:rRNA from 1 species